rnacentral:rRNA from 1 species
CUUUUUGAGGGUUUGAUCCUGGCCCAGGAUGAACGCUGGCGGCGUGCUUUAAGCAUGCAAGUGGAACGAAAACCCGAGCUUGCUCGGGUGGAAGUCGCGAACGGCUGAGUAACACGUAGGAAUCUACCCCUUGGCGGAGAAUACCUCACUGAAAGGUGAGUUAAUACUGCAUAACCCUGAAGUAUGCGCAAGCUUAACUUCAGGGAAAGGGCGUAACUGCCCACCGAGGGAGGAGCCUGCGGCCCAUCAGCUUGUUGGUAGGGUAAUGGCCUACCAAGGCAACGACGGGUAGGGGACGUGAGAGCGUGAUCCCCCAGAAUGGUACUGAGAACGGACCAUACACCUACGGGUGGCAGCAACUGGGAAUCGUGCGCAAUGGACGAAAGUCUGACGCCGCGACGCCGCGUGAAGGAUGAAGGCCUAUGGGUUGUAAACUUCUUUUGCCAAGAUCGAGAGGUCUUGGAGAAUAAGCACCGGCUAACUACGUGCCAGCAGCAGCGGUAAUACGUAGGGUGCAAGCGUUAUCCGGAUUUAUUGGGCGUAAAGGGUCCGCAGGCUUUCCAGCAAGUCAAUCUUCAAAGACCGGGGCUCAACCUCGGGAAGGGGAGUGAUACUGCUGGAAUUGGAGAACUUAGGGGCUACUGGAACUAUUCAUGUAGGGGUGAAAUCCGUUGAUAUGAAUAGGAACUCCGAGGGCGAAGGCAGGUAGCUGGGAGUUUCUCGACGCUCAGGGACGAAAGCUAGGGUAGCGAAAGGGAUUAACAUACUAGUCCCCUCCGAUAGUAAUAUCGGAGAAAAAAUCGGCUAUAUCGGUGAAACUCCUUGUAAUCUUCGGAUUAUUUUUGGUAACAUGGAUUAUGAGGACAACCCCGAGGGAAGUCUUUAUUUCGCUUAAAGCAAACUUUAACCUAAACAAUGUCCAGCAGGCAGUUUUGAUCGGAACUCUUUUGGGUGAUGGAACUAUUCAAAUGAGAAAGAAAGAUGCGAGGCUUCAUAUAAAGCACUCGCUAAAUCAGAUUUCUUUAGUUGAAUACAAAAGAAAAGUUUUUGCGAAUAUAACAAAUAUGAAUGUAAGGGUAUUCAAACAAAAAGUAGGCGGAGUCGACUACAACUUUGCCGAAUUUGUUACUCUUACUCAUUCUGAGUUUACUCGCUUUUAUAAGCUUUUCUACAAAGAGCACAAAAAAGUUGUUCCUACAGAUUUAGGGCAAUUAUUAAAAAGCCCUAUGAGUGUGGCUGUUUGGAUAAUGGAUGAUGGAUCUUCUGAGUAUGCUGGUGUGUCUAUACAAACACACUCAUUCACAGAAGAAGAAGUUAAAAAUCUUAUUAAGGUUAUUGAAAAUAAUUUUAAUUUAAAAGCUUUAAUGCGAAAGAAUAAAAAUAGGUGGAUUAUUUAUUUUACAAAAUCUAGUUUGUUUAAAUUAACUAGAUUAGUAAGCAAAUACACUUUGCCUGAGUUUGAGUAUAAACUUAAACCCUAUUCUUUAAGACCCCGUAGAGACUGUACGCCGGGUCCCGACACAAUCGGGAUAUGAUACAGUCCGAACUGCAUAGCAAUAUGUAGAGUUUAAUAGAAAUAUUAGACCGCCCCCUUGGAUAUGAAAUUGUCUGACGGGGUUAUUGAAGUAACAGAUUGUAGAGACCCCUGUAGUCCUAGCCGUAAACGAUGCUCGCUAGGGGGGCGCCUAUGGUGCCUCCCGCAAGCUAACGCGUGAAGCGAGCCGCCUGGGGAGUACGAGCGCAAGCUUAAAACUCAAAGGAAUUGACGGGGAGACGCACAACCAGUGGAUUAUGUGGUUUAAUUCGAGACGAACCGAAGAACCUUACCUGGACUUGACAUGUUUUUCUUAAUGCCUCCUGGAAACAGGUUGGAAUCAUACAUAGUAUGAGGGAAAUCACAGGUGUUGCAUGGCUAUCGUCAGCUCGUGUCGUGAGGUGUUCCCUUCAGUGGGGUAACGAGCGCAACCCCUGCUGUAUGUUGAAUGUUCAUACAGGACAGCUCGCCUUAGGCGAGAGGAAGGCGGGGACGACGUUAAGUCAGCAUGGCCCUUAUGUCCAGGGCGACACACAUAAUACAAUGGAGCCGACAAUGGGUUGCCAAGUGGUAACACGGAGCUAAUCCCAUCAAACGGCUUCUCAGUGGGGAUUGGGGGCUGCAACUCGCCCCCAUGAACGUGGAAUUGGUAGUAAUCGCGGAUCAGCCAAGCCGCGGUGAAUACGUUCUCGUCUCUUGUACACACCGCCUCGGCCAAAUGGCCGAAGAAAACGCGCCUAGCAGUUGUAUUCUCUAGUGGGUUAAAAUCCUAC